rnacentral:rRNA from 1 species
GACGAACGCUGGCGGCGUGCCUAACACAUGCAAGUCGAACGGGGUCCACGCAGUGGCAACACUGCUGAAGACCUAGUGGCGAACGGGUGAGUAACACGUGAGGAACCUGCCCCGAAGACCGGGAUAACCCUCCGAAAGGAGAGCUAAUACCGGAUGUCCCCACCGAAUCGCAUGAUCUGGUGAGGAAAUGGAUUCCGCUUCGGGAGGCCUCGCGGCCUAUCAGCUUGUUGGUGAGGUAACGGCUCACCAAGGCAUCGACGGGUAGCUGGUCUGAGAGGACGAUCAGCCACACUGGGACUGAGACACGGCCCAGACUCCUACGGGAGGCAGCAGUGGGGAAUCUUAGGCAAUGGACGAAAGUCUGACCUAGCGACGCCGCGUGAGGGAAGAAGGCCUUCGGGUUGUAAACCUCUGUCAGUGGGGGAAGAAGGAAGUAGACGGUACCCAAGAGGAACGCCCUGCUAACUACGUGCCAGCAGCCGGGUAAAAGUGUGUGUA